AGAACUUCCGCGAUUGCGUGUCUACAACAACAAACAUUCAACAUGUCGAAAGUCACUUUUAAAAUAACUCUGACGUCAGAUUCAAAACUACCAUAUAAAGUAUUAUCUGUGCCUGAAGCUGCACCUUUCACAGCAGUUCUAAAAAUUUGCAGCUGAAGAGUUUAAAGUACCAGUAGCAACAAGUGCUAUCAUCACCAAUGAUGGAAUUGGAAUCAAUCCAGCACAAAGUGCAGGUAA
rnacentral:sRNA from 1 species